rnacentral:rRNA from 1 species
GUGGGUAGUUUGACUGGGGCGGUCUCCUCCCAAAGAGUAACGGAGGAGCACGAAGGUUGGCUAAUCCUGGUCGGACAUCAGGAGGUUAGUGCAAUGGCAUAAGCCAGCUUGACUGCGAGCGUGACGGCGCGAGCAGGUGCGAAAGCAGGUCAUAGUGAUCCGGUGGUUCUGAAUGGAAGGGCCAUCGCUCAACGGAUAAAAGGUACUCCGGGGAUAACAGGCUGAUACCGCCCAAGAGUUCAUAUCGACGGCGGUGUUUGGCACCUCGAUGUCGGCUCAUCACAUCCUGGGGCUGAAGUAGGUCCCAAGGGUAUGGCUGUUCGCCAUUUAAAGUGGUACGCGAGCUGGGUUUAGAACGUCGUGAGACAGUUCGGUCCCUAUCUGCCGUGGGCGCUGGAAGAUUGAGGGGGGCUGCUCCUAGUACGAGAGGACCGGAGUGGACGCAUCACUGGUGUUCGGGUUGUCAUGCCAAUGGCACUGCCCGGUAGCUAAAUGCGGAAGAGAUAAGUGCUGAAAGCAUCUAAGCACGAAACUUGCCCCGAGAUGAAUCUUCCCUGAGACUUUGAGUCUCCUGAAGGAACGUUGAAGACGACGACGUUGAUAGGCCGGGUGUGUAAGCGCAGCGAUGCGUUGAGCUAACCGGUACUAAUGAACCGUGAGGCUUAACCUUACAA